GACGAACGCUGGCGGCGUGCUUAACACAUGCAAGUCGAACGGAAAGAGAUGAAAGAGCUUGCUCUUUUAUUAAUUUCAGUGGCAAACGGGUGAGUAACACGUAAACAACCUGCCUUAAGGAUGGGGAUAACAGACGGAAACGACUGCUAAUACCGAAUACGUUCUAAGCAUCGCAUGGUGCAUAGAAGAAAGGGUGGCCUCUACAAGAAAGCUAUCGCCUUAAGAGGGGUUUGCGACUGAUUAGGUAGUUGGUGAGGUAACGGCUCACCAAGCCGACGAUCAGUAGCCGGUCUGAGAGGAUGAACGGCCACACUGGAACUGAGACACGGUCCAGACUCCUACGGGAGGCAGCAGUGGGGAAUCUUCCGCAAUGGACGAAAGUCUGACGGAGCAACGCCGCGUGAACGAAGAAGGUCUUCGGAUUGUAAAGUUCUGUGAUUCGGGACGAAAGGGUUUGUGGUGAAUAAUCAUAGACAUUGACGGUACCGAAAAAGCAAGCCACGGCUAACUACGUGCCAGCAGCCGCGGUAAUACGUAGGUGGCAAGCGUUGUCCGGAAUUAUUGGGCGUAAAGCGCGCGCAGGCGGUUUCUUAAGUCCAUCUUAAAAGCGUGGGGCUCAACCCCAUGAGGGGAUGGAAACUGGGAAGCUGGAGUAUCGGAGAGGAAAGUGGAAUUCCUAGUGUAGCGGUGAAAUGCGUAGAGAUUAGGAAGAACACCGGUGGCGAAGGCGACUUUCUGGACGAAAACUGACGCUGAGGCGCGAAAGCGUGGGGAGCAAACAGG
rnacentral:rRNA from 1 species